UACGGGGGGGGCAAGCGUUGUUCGGAAUUACUGGGCGUAAAGGGCGCGUAGGCGGGAUGGCAAGUCGGUCGUGAAAUCCUUCGGCUCAACCGAAGAACGUCGGCCGAUACUGCCGUUCUUGAGGGAUGCAGAGGAGAUUGGAAUUCCCGGUGUAGCGGUGAAAUGUGUAGAGAUCGGGAGGAACACCGGUGGCGAAGGCGGGUCUCUGGGCAUCUCCUGACGCUGAGGCGCGAAAGCGUGGGGAGCAAACGGG
rnacentral:rRNA from 1 species